rnacentral:rRNA from 1 species
UCAAGCUUUAUAGGGCACACAGUGGAUGCCUUGGUGCCAACAGGCGAUGAAGGACGUGACAAGCUGCGAUAAGCUUCGGGGAGCGGCACAUACGCUUUGAUCCGGAGAUUUCCGAAUGGGGUAACCUGACACCGUUAAUACGGUGUCGUCUUUUCCUGAACAAAGAUAGGGAAAAGCACGCAAUACCCGCUGAAGUGAAACAUCUCAGUAAGCGGAGGAAAAGAAAGAGAAUCGAUUCCGUCAGUAGUGGCGAGCGAACGCGGAAGAGCCCAAACCGGGAGCUUGCUCCCGGGGUUGUAGGACCCCGAUGUGGGACCGGCAACGAUAGGUCAAGGAGAUGGAAAGCUCCGGCAAAGAGGGUGAAACCCCCGUGACCGAAAUCCGAGCCGGCCCUAGGGUGUUCCUGAGUAAUACGGCACACGUGAAACGCCGUAUGAAUCUGCGCAGACCACUGCGUAAGGCUAAAUACUAGUUGGCGACCGAUAGUGAACCAGUACCGUGAGGGAAAGGUGAAAAGAACCGCUGUGAGCGGAGUGAAAUAGAACCUGAAACCGUGUGCCUACAAGGUGUCAGAGCAGGUUUUCCUGUGAUGGCGUGCCUUUUGCUUAAUGAGUCUGCGAGUCAGUAUGUGUGGCAAGCCUAAGUCCUUAUGGGACGGAGGCGAAGCGAAAGCGAGUCCGAAUAGGGCGACAUUAGUUGCACGUGCUGGACCCGAAGCGGAGGUGAUCUACCCUUGGCCAGGUUGAAGCGCAGGUGAUACUGCGUGAAGGACCGAACCGGUGAAUGUUGAAAAAUUCUCGGAUGAGCUGAGGGUAGGAGUGAAAGGCUAAUCAAACCCCGUGAUAGCUGGUUCUCCUCGAAAUGCAUUUAGGUGCAGCGUCGCGUGUUUAUGAGUGGGGGUAGAGCACUGAAAGGGCUAGGGGGCAUACCCGUCUACCAACCCCUAUCAAACUCCGAAUACCACUCAACAGAACGCGGCAGUGAGACGGCGGGGGAUAAGCUUCGUCGUCAAAAGGGAAACAACCCUGAUCAGCAGCUAAGGUGCCCAAAUCAUGCUAAGUGGAAAGGAUGUGGAAUUUCACAGACAGUGAGGAUGUUGGCUUAGAAGCAGCCACCAUUUAAAAAGUGCGUAAUAGCUUACUCAUCGAGAGAUUCUGCGCCGAAAAUGAUUGGCGAUUAAGCAUGAUACCGAAGCUCUGGGUGCCAUACCCUGGGGUAUGGUGCGGUAGAGGAGCAUUCUCAACGCGUCGAAGCGCGAUGGCGACUGACCGUGGAGUGUUGAGAAGAGAGGAUGCAGACAUGAGUAACGAUAAGGCGGGUGAAAUCCCCGUCCGCCGUAAACCCAAGGUUUCCCGGGCAACGUUUUUCGUCCCGGGGUUAGUCGGGACCUAAGCCGAGGCGGAUACGCGUAGGCGAUGGACAGCAGGUUAAUAUUCCUGCACUUGCGACCCUUAACCCGGAUUGACGCAUUGAUGGAGGCAACUAAGUGAUUGAAUUCCGAGGUGAGGCUUUUAGCCGAUCCGUAUUGCCAAAGUCGGUGCCGAGAAAAGAUCCGGUGUAUGCUAAGCAACCCGUACCGCAAACCGACACAGGUGGGUGGGUAGAAUAUACCAAGGCGCAAGAGUGAACCCCGGUUAAGGAACUCGGCAAAUUAGCCCCGUAACUUCGGGAUAAGGGGUGCCUGGGUUUACCCAGGCCGCAGUGAAAUGGCCCAACCGACUGUUUAGCAAAAACACAGCAUUCUGCCAAGACGCAAGUCCAAGUAUAGGAUGUGACACGUGACCAAUGCGGAAAGAUUAAGGUAAGAUGUUAGCCGCAAGGCGAAGCUUUGAGCUCAAGUCCCCGUGAAUGUCGGCCGUAACUAUAACGGUCCUAAGGUAGCGAAAUUCCUUGUCGGGUAAGUUCCG